rnacentral:rRNA from 1 species
UACGAAGGGGGCUAGCGUUGCUCGGAAUCACUGGGCGUAAAGCGCACGUAGGCGGCUUCUUAAGUCAGGGGUGAAAUCCUGGAGCUCAACUCCAGAACUGCCUUUGAUACUGAGGAGCUUGAGUCCGGGAGAGGUGAGUGGAACUGCGAGUGUAGAGGUGAAAUUCGUAGAUAUCGGGAGGAACACCAGCGGCGAAGGCGGCUCACUGGGCUCCACCUGACGCUGAGGCGCGAAAGCGUGGGGAGCAAACCGG